rnacentral:rRNA from 1 species
GUAAGGUAUUGGCUUACCGUGGCAGUGACGGUUAACGGGGAAUUAGGGUUCAAUUCCGGAGAGGGAGCCUGAGAAACGGCUACCACAUCUAAGGAAGGCAGCAGGCGCGCAAAUUACCCAAUUCUAAUAGCAUAAGAGAGGUAGUGACAAGAAAUAACAGUACAAGGCAGUUUAAAUGCUUUGUAAUUGGAAUGAUAGAAAUUUAAAUACUUUUUAAAGUAUCAAUUGGAGGGCAAGUCUGGUGCCAGCAGCCGCGGUAAUUCCAGCUCCAAUAGCGUAUAUUAAAAUUGUUGCAGUUAAAAAGCUCGUAGUUGAAUUUUUGCUAAAAAUAACCGGUCUGCUUUUAUUAAUAAAGGUGGUAUCUUGGUGUGGUUUUAGCAAUAAUGUCCUUUGAAAUGUUUUUUACUUUAUUGUAAAAAACAAUUUUCAGGAUUUUUACUUUGAGAAAAUUAGAGUGUUUCAAGCAGGCUAACGUUUUGAAUACUGCAGCAUGGAAUAAUAAAAUAGGAUUUUAGUUCUACGUUAUUGGUUUUAAGAGCUAAAUUAAUGAUUGAUAGGAGCAGUUGGGGGCAUUUGUAUUUAACU